rnacentral:rRNA from 3 species
GACGAGGCACUACGGUGCUGAAGCAACAAAUGCCCUGCUUCCAGGAAAAGCCUCUAAGCAUCAGGUAACAUCAAAUCGUACCCCAAACCGACACAGGUGGUCAGGUAGAGAAUACCAAGGCGCUUGAGAGAACUCGGGUGAAGGAACUAGGCAAAAUGGUGCCGUAACUUCGGGAGAAGGCACGCUGACACGUAGGUGAAGUGAUUUACUCAUGGAGCUGAAGUCAGUCGAAGAUACCAGCUGGCUGCAACUGUUUAUUAAAAACACAGCACUGUGCAAACACGAAAGUGGACGUAUACGGUGUGACGCCUGCCCGGUGCCGGAAGGUUAAUUGAUGGGGUCAGCGCAAGCGAAGCUCCUGAUCGAAGCCCCGGUAAACGGCGGCCGUAACUAUAACGGUCCUAAGGUAGCGAAAUUCCUUGUCGGGUAAGUUCCGACCUGCACGAAUGGCGUAAUGAUGGCCAGGCUGUCUCCACCCGAGACUCAGUGAAAUUGAACUCGCUGUGAAGAUGCAGUGUACCCGCGGCAAGACGGAAAGACCCCGUGAACCUUUACUAUAGCUUGACACUGAACAUUGAGCCUUGAUGUGUAGGAUAGGUGGGAGGCUUUGAAGCGUGGACGCCAGUCUGCGUGGAGCCGACCUUGAAAUACCACCCUUUAAUGUUUGAUGUUCUAACGUGGACCCGUAAUCCGGGUUGCGGACAGUGUCUGGUGGGUAGUUUGACUGGGGCGGUCUCCUCCUAAAGAGUAACGGAGGAGCACGAAGGUUGGCUAAUCCUGGUCGGACAUCAGGAGGUUAGUGCAAUGGCAUAAGCCAGCUUGACUGCGAGCGUGACGGCGCGAGCAGGUGCGAAAGCAGGUCAUAGUGAUCCGGUGGUUCUGAAUGGAAGGGCCAUCGCUCAACGGAUAAAAGGUACUCCGGGGAUAACAGGCUGAUACCGCCCAAGAGUUCAUAUCGACGGCGGUGUUUGGCACCUCGAUGUCGGCUCAUCACAUCCUGGGGCUGAAGUAGGUCCCAAGGGUAUGGCUGUUCGCCAUUUAAAGUGGUACGCGAGCUGGGUUUAGAACGUCGUGAGACAGUUCGGUCCCUAUCUGCCGUGGGCGCUGGAGAACUGAGGGGGGCUGCUCCUAGUACGAGAGGACCGGAGUGGACGCAUCACUGGUGUUCGGGUUGUCAUGCCAAUGGCACUGCCCGGUAGCUAAAUGCGGAAGAGAUAAGUGCUGAAAGCAUCUAAGCACGAAACUUGCCCCGAGAUGAGUUCUCCCUGAGACUUAGAGUCUCCUGAAGGAACGUUGAAGACGACGACGUUGAUAGGCCGGGUGUGUAAGCGCAGCGAUGCGUUGAGCUAACCGGUACUAAUGAACCGUGAGGCUUAACCUUACAACGCCGAAG